AUACGUAGGGAGCGAGCGUUAUCCGGAUUUAUUGGGUGUAAAGGGUGCGUAGACGGGUUUGCAAGUUAGUUGUGAAAUCCCUCGGCUUAACUGAGGAACUGCAACUAAAACUGUAAAUCUUGAGUGCAGGAGAGGUAAGUGGAAUUCCUAGUGUAGCGGUGAAAUGCGUAGAUAUUAGGAGGAACACCAGUGGCGAAGGCGACUUACUGGACUGUAACUGACGUUGAGGCACGAAAGUGUGGGGAGCAAACAGGAUUAGAUACCCUGGUAGUCCACACCGUAAACGAUGGAUACUAGGUGUAGGAGAUAUUAAGUCUUCUGUGCCGUCGCAAACGCAAUAAGUAUCCCACCUGGGGAGUACGGCCGCAAGGUUGAAACUCAAAUGAAUUGACGGGG
rnacentral:rRNA from 1 species